rnacentral:other from 1 species
UUGCCCCUGCUGUGUUUGUGAUUGGCAGAAUGUUUCUGAGCCAACAUAAACUGAAAGGGUGCUCUGCCUGGCUCCGGUGUGCAUGUCAGUUUCGGCUGAAAGCCUAAAGGAGUUAUAGGGCGCCCACCUGAACCUUAGGUUCAAGACCACCUGUCGACACGGCAUAAUGCGGGGGCAAU